rnacentral:rRNA from 1 species
GCACGUAGUUAGCCGGCGCUUCUUCUCCCACUACCGUCACUUACGCUUCGUCAUGGUUGAAAGAGGUUUACGACCCGAAGGCCGUCAUCCCUCACGCGGCGUCGCUGCAUCAGGCUUCCGCCCAUUGUGCAAUAUUCCCCACUGCUGCCUCCCGUAGGAGUCUGGGCCGUGUCUCAGUCCCAGUGUGACCGGUCGCCCUCUCAGGCCGGCUACCCGUCGUCGCCUUGGUAGGCCAUCACCCCACCAACAAGCUGAUAGGCCGCGAGCCCAUCCCCAGCCGCAAACACUUUCCACCACCCACGAUGCCGCAGGAAGUGAAUAUCCGGUAUUAGCCCCCGUUUCCGAGGGUUAUCCCAAAGCUGAGGGCAGGUUACUCACGUGUUACUCACCCGUUCGCCGCUCGAGCACCCCCGAAAGGGCCUUUCCGCACGACUUGCAUGUGUUAAGCACGCCGCCAGCGUUCGUC